rnacentral:sRNA from 1 species
UGAGAUCAUGCCAUUGCACUCCAGCCUGGGCAACAAAAGUGAAACUCUGUCUCAAAAAAAAAAAAAAGGAAUGGAUGCUAUCCAUCACCUCAUCUCGUGCGGCCCUUUCCUGGCUGCCUUACAGGAAGAAUGAAUUCGGGGCAGCACAUUCUCUUUAUCCUUUCCUCUUUCUUCUUUUCACCAGUCCUCCAGCGGUUGUGGGGCACCCAGGAUGUAUCCCAAGACAUCCAGGAGAUGAAAGAUGAGAGUGCAAGGAUGUCACAAGAAAAGCAAGUCACCGUGCUGGAGCUCUUUAGAGUGUCCAGCUACCGACAGCCCAUCAUCAUUUCCAUUGUGCUCCAGCUCUCUCAGCAGCUCUCUGGGAUCAAUGCUGUGUUCUAUUACUCAACAGGAAUCUUCAAGGAUGCAGGUGUUCAAGAGCCCAUCUAUGCCACCAUCGGCGCGGGUGUGGUUAAUACUAUCUUCACUGUAGUUUCUCUAUUUCUGGUGGAAAGGGCAGGAAGAAGGACUCUGCAUAUGAUAGGCCUUGGAGGGAUGGCUUUUUGUUCCACGCUCAUGACUGUUUCUUUGUUAUUAAAGGAUAACUAUAAUGGGAUGAGCUUUGUCUGUAUUGGGGCUAUCUUGGUCUUUGUGGCCUUUUUUGAAAUUGGACCAGGCCCCAUUCCCUGGUUUAUUGUGGCCGAACUCUUCAGCCAGGGCCCCCGCCCAGCUGCGAUGGCAGUGGCCGGCUGCUCCAACUGGACCUCCAACUUCCUAGUCGGAUUGCUCUUCCCCUCUGCUGCUCACUAUUUAGGAGCCUACGUUUUUAUUAUCUUCACCGGCUUCCUCAUUACCUUCUUGGCUUUUACCUUCUUCAAAGUCCCUGAGACC